CACAAGCGGUGGAGCAUGUGGUUUAAUUCGUAAGCAACGCGAAGAACCUUACCAGGUCUUGACAUCCCGAUGCUAUUUCUAGAGAUGAAAGUUACUUCGGUACAUCGGUGACAGGUGGUGCAUGGUUGUCGUCAGCUCGUGUCGUGAGAUGUUGGGUUAAGUCCCGCAACGAGCGCAACCCCUAUUGUUAGUUGCCAUCAUUCAGUUGGGCACUCUAGCGAGACUGCCGGUAAUAAACCGGAGGAAGGUGGGGAUGACGUCAAAUCAUCAUGCCCCUUAUGACCUGGGCUACACACGUGCUACAAUGGUUGGUACAACGAGUUGCGAGUCGGUGACGGCGAGCUAAUCUCUUAAAGCCAAUCUCAGUUCGGAUUGUAGGCUGCAACUCGCCUACAUGAAGUCGGAAUCGCUAGUAAUCGCGGAUCAGCACGCCGCGGUGAAUACGUUCCCGGGCCUU
rnacentral:rRNA from 1 species